rnacentral:precursor_RNA from 10 species
GAAAGGGAAGAGUGGAAGCCGAUUAGCAGUUUCAAGUGAGGUCAGAGCUGCUGUGGAUUAAUGUCAUCAGUUCAGCCGCUCUUGUCGCGCUUGACACUGUCAGUUUCAUGGCUCUUACAACGACCGC